ACGGCUCAGUUCGGAUUGCAGGCUGCAACUCGCCUGCAUGAAGUCGGAAUCGCUAGUAAUCGCGGAUCAGCAUGCCGCGGUGAAUACGUUCCCGGGUCUUGUACACACCGCCCGUCAAACAAUGGGAGUGGUGUUUACCAGAAGUCGUUAGCCUAACCGCAAGGAGGGCGGCGACCACGGUGAGCACCGUGACUAAUGUUAAGUCGUAACAAGGUACC
rnacentral:rRNA from 1 species